rnacentral:misc_RNA from 1 species
GCAAACUUGGUCAUUUAGAGGAAGUAAAAGUCGUAACAAGGUCUCCGUAGGUGAACCUGCGGAGGGAUCAUUACUGAGUUAUCUAACUCCCAAACCAUUGUGAACUUACCACUGUUGCCUCGGCGGCAGUCCUCUUCACGGAGGCGGCCGCCGGUGGACUACUAAACUCUUGUUAAUAUUUGUCAUUCUGAAUAACAAACUUAAUAAGUUAAAACUUUCAACAACGGAUCUCUUGGUUCUGGCAUCGAUGAAGAACGCAGC